GAGUUUGAUCCUGGCUCAGAUUGAACGCUGGCGGCAGGCUUAACACAUGCAAGUCGAACGGUAACGGGUUGAAAGCUUGCUUUCAAUGCUGACGAGUGGCGGACGGGUGAGUAAGGCUUGGGGAUCUGGCUUUUGGAGGGGGAUAACCAUUGGAAACGAUGGCUAAUACCGCAUAGKAUCGAGAGAUGAAAGGGGUGGGAAACCACUUGCCAAGGGAUGAACCCAAGUGAGAUUAGGUAGUUGGUGGGGUAARGGCCUACCAAGCCGACGAUCUCUAGCUGGUCUGAGAGGAUGGCCAGCCACACUGGGACUGAGACACGGCCCAGACUCCUACGGGAGGCAGCAGUGGGGAAUAUUGCGCAAUGGGGGGAACCCUGACGCAGCCAUGCCGCGUGAAUGAAGAAGGCCUUCGGGUUGUAAAGUUCUUUCGGUGGUGAGGAAGGUURGGRUGUUAAUAGCAYAYUGAUUUGACGUUAGCCACAGAAGAAGCACCGGCUAACUCCGUGCCAGCAGCCGCGGUAAUAC
rnacentral:rRNA from 1 species